rnacentral:rRNA from 1 species
UCGAGCGGUAGGGAAGGAGCUUGCUUCUUCUUGAGAGCGGCGGACGGGUGAGUAAUGCCUAGGAAUCUGCCUGGUAGUGGGGGACAACGUUUCGAAAGGAACGCUAAUACCGCAUACGUCCUACGGGAGAAAGUGGGGGAUCUUCGGACCUCACGCUAUCAGAUGAGCCUAGGUCGGAUUAGCUUGUAGGUGAGGUAAUGGCUCACCUAGGCAACGAUCCGUAACUGGUCUGAGAGGAUGAUCAGUCACACUGGAACUGAGACACGGUCCAGACUCCUACGGGAGGCAGCAGUGGGGAAUAUUGGACAAUGGGCGAAAGCCUGAUCCAGCCAUGCCGCGUGUGUGAAGAAGGUCUUCGGAUUGUAAAGCACUUUAAGUUGGGAGGAAGGGUUGUAGCUUAAUACGCUGCAACUUUGACGUUACCAACAGAAUAAGCACCGGCUAACUCUGUGCCAGCAGCCGCGGUAAUACAGAGGGUGCAAGCGUUAAUCGGAAUUACUGGGCGUAAAGCGCGCGUAGGCGGCUUGAUAAGAUGGGUGUGAAAUCCCCGGGCUUAACCUGGGAACUGCAUCCAUAACUGUCUGGCUAGAGUACAGUAGAGGGUGGUGGAAUUUCCUGUGUAGCGGUGAAAUGCGUAGAUAUAGGAAGGAACACCAGUGGCGAAGGCGACCACCUGGACUGAUACUGACGCUGAGGUGCGAAGCGUGGGGAGCAAACAGGAUUAGAUACCCUGGUAGUCCACGCCGUAAACGAUGUCAACUAGCCGUUGGAAUCCUUGAGAUUUUAGUGGCGCAGCUAACGCACUAAGUUGAC